rnacentral:tRNA from 2 species
AGAAACUUAGGCUAACAAAGACCAAAGGCCUUCAAAGCCUUAAGCGGAGGUUAAAUCCCUUCAGUUUCUG